rnacentral:rRNA from 1 species
UACAGAGGUCCCAAGCGUUGUUCGGAUUCACUGGGCGUAAAGGGUGCGUAGGUGGCCAGGUAAGUUUGGUGUGAAAGCUCGGAGCUUAACUCCGAAAAGUCAUUGAAUACUAUCUGGCUGGAGGGUCGGAGGGGAGACUGGAAUUCUCGGUGUAGCAGUGAAAUGCGUAGAUAUCGAGAGGAACACCAGAGGCGCAGGCGGCUUGCUGGGUCUGUAUUGACGCUCAGACACGAAAGCAUGGGGAGCGAACGGG